CUUACCAUGCNAGUCGAGCGGGCGUAGCAAUACGUCAGCGGCAGACGGGUGAGUAACGCGUGGGAACGUACCUUUUGGUUCGGAACAACACAGGGAAACUUGUGCUAAUACCGGAUAAGCCCUUACGGGGAAAGAUUUAUCGCCGAAAGAUCGGCCCGCGUCUGAUUAGCUAGUUGGUGAGGUAAUGGCUCACCAAGGCGACGAUCAGUAGCUGGUCUGAGAGGAUGAUCAGCCACAUUGGGACUGAGACACGGCCCAAACUCCUACGGGAGGCAGCAGUGGGGAAUAUUGGACAAUGGGCGCAAGCCUGAUCCAGCCAUGCCGCGUGAGUGAUGAAGGCCCUAGGGUUGUAAAGCUCUUUUGUGCGGGAAGAUAAUGACGGUACCGCAAGAAUAAGCCCCGGCUAACUUCGUGCCAGCAGCCGCGGUAAU
rnacentral:rRNA from 1 species